AUUGACCGCUGGCGGCAGGCCUAACACAUGCAAGUCGAGAGGAGCGGCGGACGGGUGAGCAAUGCCUAGGAAUCUGCCUGGUAGUGGGGGAUAACGUCCGGAAACGGACGCUAAUACCGCAUACUAUCAGAUGAGCCUAGGUCGGAUUAGCUCAUUGGUGGGGUAAAGGCCUACCAAGGCGACGAACCGUAACUGGUCGGAGAGGAUGAUCAGUCACACGGGAACGGAGACACGGUCCAGACUCCGACGGGAGGCAGAAGUGGGGAAUAUUGGACAAUGGCCGAAAGCCGGAGCCAGCCAUGCCGCGUGUGUGAAGAAGGUCUUCGGAUUUUAAAGCACUUUAAGUUGGGAGGCGUGACCAACAGAAGAAGCACCGGCUAACUUCGUGCCAGCCGCCGCGGUAAUUC
rnacentral:rRNA from 1 species